AUUGAACGCUGGCGGCAUGCCUUACACAUGCAAGUCGAACGGCAGCACGGGAGCAAUCCUGGUGGCGAGUGGCGAACGGGUGAGUAACGCAUCGGAACGUGCCCAGUCGUGGGGGAUAGCCCGGCGAAAGCCGGAUUAAUACCGCAUACGACCUGUGGGUGAAAGCGGGGGACCUUUCGGGGCCUCGCGCGAUUGGAGCGGCCGAUGUCAGAUUAGGUAGUUGGUGGGGUAAAGGCCCACCAAGCCGACGAUCUGUAGCUGGUCUGAGAGGACGACCAGCCACACUGGGACUGAGACACGGCCCAGACUCCUACGGGAGGCAGCAGUGGGGAAUUUUGGACAAUGGGCGCAAGCCUGAUCCAGCCAUGCCGCGUGCGGGAAGAAGGCCUUCGGGUUGUAAACCGCUUUUGUCGGGGAAGAAAUGCUCCGGGAUAAUACCCUGGGGAGAUGACGGUACCCGAAGAAUAAGCACCGGCUAACUACGUGCCAGCCGCCGCCGUAAGAC
rnacentral:rRNA from 1 species